UCCUCAGGACAUAACCUAUUUGAAGAAGCU
rnacentral:piRNA from 1 species